CGCAGCGACCCGGGAGAGAGCCACACCAGAUGUGGCCGCCGAAGGAGCAAUACCUCUCCGUCAAACUCUCAGGCAUCAAGGACCGUGUCGUCGUC
rnacentral:ncRNA from 2 species